rnacentral:lncRNA from 10 species
GUCACCCAGGCUGGAGUGCAAUAGCACGAUCUCAGCUCACUGCAACCUCCGCCUCCCAGGUUCAAACAAUUCUCCUGCCUCAGCCUCUCGAGCAGCUGGGAUUAUAGGUGUCCGCUACCAUGCCCGGCUAAUUUUUGUAUUUUUUAGUAGAGACAGGAUUUCGCCAUGUUGGUCAGGCUGGUCUCGAAUUUCUGACCUGAGGUGAUCCGCCCACCUAGGCCUCCCAAAGUGCUGGGAUUACAGGCAUGAGAUACCACGCCUGGCGAGAAGUCUUCUAAUUAAAUGGCUUACAUUCUGUCUGUGAGUAAAGGAUCUUAUCAUGAGUCCCUCAAAUCUUAUUGUGAGUUCUUCAAACUGUUGAUAUGAUUAACGUUAUCUACUAACAUCAAAAAAGACACUGAUUUAUUUCUGAAUCAUGUUUUGCUGAUUGUCUUCCACUUAGAACAUUUUAGCCUGUCAGCUGUCAUCUAUAGGCAAUGAUUGUAACGUCUAUAUUGUACCCUUCAAGGAAAAUGACAAUUCCGGUAUGAAUAGUCCUCCAGCUUCUCCUAAACUUUCUCAUAAAGGCAUCCAACUUGUAAUCAAUUUUGGAACACAUCCAAAUUUGUUGGUGUGUCUUCUCAAGUUGAUCCUCAAAUUUGGCUUACAAUAAAACUUUAUCAAAUUGUAUCUGCCUCAAUGGCCUUAUUUUUGGUAAACAAAAGUAUCCCAUGAAAGGCGCAAUGUAACCAUCCCCAACCAAAUCCCUGGAGACACACCAGAGCAGAGAUAAAGUUUAUAGCCAGUUUCAAGAGACAGACCUAAAGAUUAAAUUAGAAGAAUAUACAACACCUAUGAAAGACAAAAGCAGCACACUUUUAGAAAUUACAGAAAUUUUUUUUUCUUUUUGAGACAGAGUCUCGCACUGUCUACCCAGACUUGAGUGCAGUGGCGUGAUCUUGGCUCACUGCAAGCUCCGCCUCCCGAG